UGGGGAAUAUUGCACAAUGGGCGCAAGCCUGAUGCAGCCAUGCCGCGUGUGUGAAGAAGGCCUUCGGGUUGUAAAGCACUUUCAGCGAGGAGGAAGGGUAGUGUGUUAAUAGCACAUUGCAUUGACGUUACUCGCAGAAGAAGCACCGGCUAACUCCGUGCCAGCAGCCGCGGUAAUACGGAGGGUGCAAGCGUUAAUCGGAAUUACUGGGCGUAAAGCGCACGCAGGCGGUUUGUUAAGUCAGAUGUGAAAUCCCCGCGCUUAACGUGGGAACUGCAUUUGAAACUGGCAAGCUAGAGUCUUGUAGAGGGGGGUAGAAUUCCCAGGUGUAGCGG
rnacentral:rRNA from 1 species